UUACAAAGCUUGCUGUUGAAUGUUCGU
rnacentral:piRNA from 1 species